CCGCGCAGCCGGGGAGAUAGCGGUGCCCUGUACCUGCAAUCCGCUACAGCAGGGGUGAUGCCAAUCCGAGGGGUGUUCCUUGUGGAGCUGCCCUUUAUAAGUGGCGUUGACGUUUGGGUCUUACGCAACAGGAAUCUGUGAACCGUGUCAGGGCAGGAAUGCAGCAGCACUAAGCAGAAGCUCUUGUGUGCCGUGAGGGUGCCUGGGCUGAGUUAACUGUAAAGGUAACGUCUGUGAGUGCAUUUCGAAGUGCGG
rnacentral:SRP_RNA from 1 species